rnacentral:rRNA from 1 species
UACGAAGGGGGGCUAGCGUUGUUCGGAAUUACUGGGCGUAAAGCGCACGUAGGCGGAUACUUAAGUCAGGGGUGAAAUCCCGGGGCUCAACCCCGGAACUGCCUUUGAUACUGGGUAUCUCGAGUCCGGAAGAGGUGAGUGGAAUUCCGAGUGUAGAGGUGAAAUUCGUAGAUAUUCGGAGGAACACCAGUGGCGAAGGCGGCUCACUGGUCCGGUACUGACGCUGAGGUGCGAAAGCGUGGGGAGCAACAGG